rnacentral:lncRNA from 1 species
AAAAAAAGUAGGAAACUCCGGAUUGUAAAUACAAGAGUAAUGUUCUGGCUUCAUGGUGACACCGUGAAUUUGCUAAAAUUGAUGAACAGCAGAUGUCCUGAAACUUGUGAAAACAUCUGCAACAAUCCCUUGAAGAUAACUUCCACAGAACAAGAAUCCAUUUAUGGAGUAGAUAUGGAGAGCACGAGGGAGUGAGAGCCUUAGGGACUUGGGAAGCUUGCCCUGCAUGGAAUAAAAGCGAUGGGAGACAAGUAACUAGGAAUCUUGGAGUCCUUCUUUCCACUGACACAGAGAAUAAGGUUUUCAUCGGUCAUGGAAGUCAAAAUUGGAGUUGGUCCCUUACUCCCUCUUUAAUUGCCUAUUCUUCACUGUUACAAUUGCCUCCAAUUGUACAAACAAUAAAAAUAACUAACAUUUAAAAAUUUUACUUUGU